UACGUAGGGUGCGAGCGUUAAUCGGAAUUACUGGGCGUAAAGCGUGCGCAGGCGGUUGUGCAAGACAGGGGUGAAAUCCCCGGGCUCAACCUGGGAAUGGCAUUUGGGACUGCAAGGCUGGAGUGUGGCAGAGGAGACUGGAAUUCCUGGUGUAGCAGUGAAAUGCGUAGAUAUCAGGAGGAAUACCGAUGGCGAAGGCAGGUCUCUGGGCUGACACUGACGCUCAUGCACGAAAGCGUGGGGAGCAAACAGG
rnacentral:rRNA from 1 species